UACGUAGGCAGCGAGCGUUGUUCGGAGUUACUGGGCGUAAAGAGUGCGUAGGCGGUUUUCUAAGUUUGGUGUGAAAUCUCCCGGCUCAACUGGGAGGGGUCUUCGGAUACUGGCGGACUUGAGGAGUGCAGAGGUGAGUGGAAUUCUCGGUGUAGUGGUGAAAUGCGUAGAUAUCGAGAGGAACACCAGUGGCGAAGGCGGCUCACUGGGCACCACCUGACGCUGAGGCGCGAAAGCGUGGGGAGCGAACCGG
rnacentral:rRNA from 1 species